UUCGGAUUGGGGUCUGCAACUCGACCCCAUGAAGUCGGAGUCGCUAGUAAUCGCAGAUCAGCAACGCUGCGGUGAAUACGUUCCCGGGCCUUGUACACACCGCCCGUCAAGUCACGAAAGUCGGUAACACCCGAAGCCGGUGGCCCAACUCUUUGAGAGGGAGCCGUCGAAGGUGGGACUGGCGAUUGGGACUAAGUCGUAACAAGGUAGCCGUACCGGAAGGUGCGGCUGGAUCACCUCCUUUCUAAGGAG
rnacentral:rRNA from 1 species